CGUCGAGUGGCGGACGGGUGAGUAAUGCUUGGGAAUCUACCCAGUAGCGGGGGAUAACUCGAGGAAACUCGAGCUAAUACCGCAUACGCCCCACGGGGGAAAGCGGGGGACUCUUCGGAGCCUCGCACUAUUGGAUGGGCCCAAGUCGGAUUAGCUUGUUGGUAGGGUAAUGGCCUACCAAGGCGACGAUCCGUAGCUGGUCUGAGAGGACGAUCAGCCACACUGGGACUGAGACACGGCCCAG
rnacentral:rRNA from 1 species